rnacentral:misc_RNA from 1 species
GCGAAAUGCGAUAAGUAAUGUGAAUUGCAGAAUUCAGUGAAUCAUCGAAUCUUUGAACGCACCUUGCGCUCCUUGGUAUUCCUUGGAGCAUGCCUGUUUGAGUAUCAUGAAAUCUUCAAAGUAAAUCUUUUGUUAACUCAAUUGGUUUCUACUUUGGUAUUGGAGGUCUUUGCAGCUUCACACCUGCUCCUCUUUGUUCAUUAGCUGGAUCUCAGUGUUAUGCUUGGUUCCACUCGGCGUGAUAAGUUAUCUAUCGCUGAGGACACUGUAAAAGGUGGCCAAGGUAAAUGCAGAUGAACCGCUUCUAAUAGUCCAUUGACUUUGACAAUACUUUUAUGAUCUGAUCUCAAAUCAGGUAGGACUACCCGCUGAACUUAA